GUGCUAUUUCAGCAGCACAUAUACUAAAAUUGGAACAAUACAAUUAGCAUGGCCCCUGCGCAAGGGUGACACAAAUUCAUGAAGCGUUCCAUGUUUUU
ensembl:snRNA U6 U6 spliceosomal RNA